AUUGAACGCUGGCGGCAAGCCUAACACAUGCAAGUCGAACGAGUGGCGGACGGGAGAGUAAUGUCUGGGAAACUGCCUGAUGGAGGGGGAUCACUACUGGAAACGGUAGCCAAUACCGCCUACCAUCGGAUGUGCCCAUAUGGGAUUAGCUAGUAGGUGGGGUAAAGGCGCACCUAGGCGACGAUCCCUAGCUGGUCUGAGAGGAUGACCAGCCACACUGGAACUGAGACACGGACCAGACGCCUAGGGGAGGAAGCAGUGGGGAAUAUUGCACAAUGGGCGCAAGCCUGAUGCAGCCAUGCCGCGUGUAUGAAGAAGGCCUUCGGGUUGUAAAGUACUUUCAGCGGGGAGGCGUUACCCGCAGAAGAAGCACCGGCUAACUCCGUGCCAGCAGCCGCGGUAAUUC
rnacentral:rRNA from 1 species